GGGUGAGUAACACGUAGGUACCCUGCCCCGGAGCGGGGGAUAACAUUUGGAAACAGAUGCUAAUACCGCAUAACAACAAAAGCCACAUGGCUUUUGUUUGAAAGAUGGCUUUGGCUAUCACUCUGGGAUGGACCUGCGGUGCAUUAGCUAGUUGGUAAGGUAACGGCUUACCAAGGCGAUGAUGCAUAGCCGAGUUGAGAGACUGAUCGGCCACAAUGGAACUGAGACACGGUCCAUACUCCUACGGGAGGCAGCAGUAGGGAAUCUUCCACAAUGGGCGCAAGCCUGAUGGAGCAACACCGCGUGAGUGAAGAAGGGUUUCGGCUCGUAAAGCUCUGUUGUUGGAGAAGAACGUGCGUGAGAGUAACUGUUCACGCAGUGACGGUAUCCAACCAGAAAGUCACGGCUAACUACGUGCCAGCAGCCGCGGUAAUACGUAGGUGGCAAGCGUUAUCCGGAUUUAUUGGGCGUAAAGCGAGCGCAGGCGGUUGCUUAGGUCUGAUGUGAAAGCCUUCGGCUUAACCGAAGAAGUGCAUCGGAAACCGGGCGACUUGAGUGCAGAAGAGGACAGUGGAACUCCAUGUGUAGCGGUGGAAUGCGUAGAUAUAUGGAAGAACACCAGUGGCGAAGGCGGCUGUCUGGUCUGCAACUGACGCUGAGGCUCGAAAGCAUGGGUAGCGAACAGGAUUAGAUACCCUGGUAGUCCAUGCCGUAAACGAU
rnacentral:rRNA from 1 species